rnacentral:rRNA from 1 species
GUCUAUCGGCCAUGCCACCUGAACAAGCCCGAUGUCUGAUCUUGGAAGCUAAGUAGGGUCAGGCCUGGUUAGUACUUAGAUGGGAGACCACCUAGGAAGACCAGGUGCUGUAGGCA